AGGGUAUGGGCCUACUUCUUUGAACAUUCGCUCAGAUCGUAAGGUAACCCCAAGAAUCGGCAUCACUCUCUGGUCUGGGCGCCUGGAUAGUCACGCAUGGAGUCCGCGAGGUGGUGGCGCCGGAGCACGCUGGGAACGCCGGGCUCCCGGCCGGCCUGACCCGGAAGGGCUGGCGCAUGGUAACCCCAGCUUCCCUAGCAACCAAGCAGGCGCAAGAAGCAACCAGCCGCGCUAUCCGCUCCCGUUGCUACCGGAAUGCCCCUUCAGGUUAGCGAUUACAGCUGGCAGCAGACGAAGACUGCCGUCUUUCUGUCUCUGCCCCUCAAAGGCGUGUGCGUCAGAGACACGGACGUGUUCUGCACGGAAAACUAUCUGAAGGUCAACUUUCCUCCAUUUUUAUUUGAGGCAUUUCUUUAUGCUCCCAUAGACGAUGAGAGCAGCAAAGCAAAGAUUGGGAAUGACACCAUUGUCUUCACCUUGUAUAAAAAAGAAGCGGCCAUGUGGGAGACCCUUUCUGUGACGGGUGUUGACAAAGAGAUGAUGCAAAGAAUUAGAGAAAAAUCUAUUUUACAAGCACAAGAGAGAGCAAAAGAAGCUACAGAAGCAAAAGCUGCAGCAAAGCGGGAAGAUCAAAAAUAUGCACUAAGUGUCAUGAUGAAGAUUGAAGAAGAAGAGAGGAAAAAAAUAGAAGAUAUGAAAGAAAAUGAACGGAUAAAAGCCACUAAAGAAUUGGAAGCCUGGAAAGAAUAUCAAAGAAAAGCUGAGGAGCAAAAAAAAAUUCAGAGAGAAGAGAAAUUAUGUCAAAAAGAAAAGCAAAUUAAAGAAGAAAGAAAAAAAAUAAAAUAUAAGAGUCUUACUAGAAAUUUGGCAUCUAGAAAUCUUGCUCCAAAAGGGAGAAAUUCAGAAAAUAUAUUUACUGAGAAGUUAAAGGAAGACAGUAUUCCUGCUCCUCGCUCUGUUGGCAGUAUUAAAAUCAACUUUACCCCUCGAGUAUUCCCAACAGCUCUUCGUGAAUCACAAGUAGCAGAAGAGGAGGAGUGGCUACACAAACAAGCUGAGGCACGAAGAGCAAUGAAUACUGACAUAGCUGAACUUUGCGAUUUAAAAGAAGAAGAAAAGAACCCAGAAUGGUUGAAGGAUAAAGGAAACAAAUUGUUUGCAACAGAAAACUAUUUGGCAGCUAUCAAUGCAUAUAAUUUAGCCAUAAGACUAAAUAAUAAGAUGCCACUAUUGUAUUUGAACCGGGCUGCUUGCCACCUAAAACUAAAAAACUUACACAAGGCUAUUGAAGAUUCUUCUAAGACAAUGCUAAUGCAAGAAUGAAGGCACAUGUACGACGUGGAACAGCAUUCUGUCAACUAGAAUUGUAUGUAGAAGGCCUACAGGAUUAUGAAGCGGCACUUAAGAUUGAUCCAUCCAACAAAAUUGUACAAAUUGAUGCUGAGAAGAUUCGGAAUGUAAUUCAAGGAACAGAACUAAAAUCUUAAUGACUAUUAGAAGUAACUAAGUAUUGUUAUAAGUUUUUUAAAAACAACUGGAGGCAUCUUUGUACAUAUUAUGGCCAGUUGUACAGAAUCGCUUUCUGUUUAGCACUUUAGUUCUGUUGAGGGCAAAAUAUUAUAAAUCUAUAGAAAAUAAACUGUUUGACUUGAAUCAUUUCUGAAUAAGUAAAUCUAAAUAAGAAUCUAUUUUAAUUCCUUAUUUCUUCAUAUUAAUACAUAUGUAUAUUUUUUUGUGUUACUGAAUUAAGCUUGCCCUUGUAACAAAAUAUGUUUUGGUAUAGUUACCAGGACACUUACUGAUUAAUUUUUAACAAGGUAGAAUUUUAAAAUAAAAGAUUUAUAAGUAACUUUUGUUUGUAUUAAUAUACCAUUUAAUUGACUGAAUGGUUGACUUUGGUAUAAUAAAUAUUGACAGGUUUUCCGUUUG